GGGUGAGGGUGCCGUUGGCCAUGAGAGGGUUGGCAUCUUGUGGCGAGACCCGGACGCGCUCCAGCUGCGCCGAGACGUGGCGCCGUUCCUCCUCCAGCGCCCGGGUCAGCUUCUCAAACUGGGCCUCUUGCUCCUUCACAGAGGCCAAGAUGCUGGCGGUCGACUCCACCUCUGAGUCCUCCAUGAAGCUCAAUAAACAGCCAGCAUCGGAGGACUCCCGUGUGCCUUCGUACAGUAAGCAGCAGUUACUACACACAGCACCUGCGAGUGAGCCCAUGGCAGACACACGGGAGUCACCCUGCAGGCUCGGGGUGCUCCCUGACAAGCUGCAGAGACACUGUGGCCAGUCCAAGACACACUGGGGGGGCAAGAGGGUCGUAACGGACUGGUCUAACACAGAGAACAGCCCAGUCUAGAUUCAAAAAAACCACGAAGAAGCAUCCCAGCACCACAGCAAGGAGGAAGCAGAGGAGAGAGCUGCAGAGAUAUUUGGAGGAAAAUUGAGAAUGGGAGGAAAAUUGAGAAUGAGAGGAAAAUAAAAUAUACCCCAUGCGUGAACCCAAGAGAGCCAGAGGUGUCGGGGACGUGAGGAGUAACUGGAACAGACUUGGCCUUGCUGAGUGUGACAAGCGCCCUCGGCUCUGCUGCACCAGCCCCGGGACCCAGGCAGGUCUCACUAGAGCACGGAUCCGAAUGUCGAGGCUCAGUGCUGGACCCGUGCUGCCUGCCCAGCAGAACCAGGGACAGCUUGCGAUGCGGACAGAAGCCCACAAGGCCCUGCUGCAUGGUGGGGGAAAUCUUGGCUGGAAAGCCCUUCCUCUCCUUCCCUCCCCUAAGGCAGAAACCUCCCUCCAAAGCCGACCCAUCAUCCCCGCAAUCACAUUGGGAAACAGCCGACAGCGGCAGCAUGGUGAGGACAAGUGAGGACUAGCUUAGGCCGGGCCUUUCGCUCAGGUUCCUGUUCCCACGCUCCGCAGGGCCCCACCAAGCACAGAGGGCUGCAGCGCUCAGCAGCAAGAGUGCCGGAGGGAGGCUGGGGAGCAGACCAAGGGACUUGUGCAGGCGUCCAGCCCCUAGCCCAGGCAACACAGGCCCUUCCUACAUCCCUGCCCAGCGCUGGGCGCUCUGGGCUCCCGUCACUGCUGACCAGAUCCUGUUCUUUCAGUCCAAGGUGCCUGCCCAUUUCUCAUAUUCCCACCCUUUAUUCCAGCAGGCCCUCUGACCGGGGUCUUUCUUUAAUAAGCACCCUAUUUUUCAAAAGUGCUCCCCUUUCAUCUCCACUUCCUCAUCUCAAGCACUUGCCCUUACCGCUAGGUACCAUGACCCGUGAACCUUGCACACCCGAGAUUCUCCGUGACGCCAUGGAACAGGGCCUGCACUACACUCUGUACUCACAGCCUGCACCCUGCAAUGUUGCUUGCUCACCAACGCCCAGACAGCCACCGCCCGGACAGAGACAACACUCCUAGGGGCACCCUGCCAUUGAGGGCCACUUUUGGCCCCCACAACUCUAACUCAAUAGAGGGACUGGACAGGAAGGAAGGAAACUACCCAGGCCUCGGUCCGGAGCGGUGUCUGGAGAAGGCGACCCCAGGGCUAGGCAAGGGAGAGCACAAGUUGAAAGGGCCCUGGGGCUCCACCGCAGGCCCAGCCCAGACUGCGUGCAAGGCAGUAUCGCCAGCCAUCUACUCUGCCGCCCUGAAGACAGGGGAGACACUGUGAGUUACACACAGUGUCACGUCGCACUAAACUAAGAGCAAAGGCCAAGCUGAUGUGGGAAAAAGGAAGCGGGCAGCCAGCAUCAGACUGAGGGCAGGGAUUGUUCCACACUCUCGAGAUCCUCCCACACUCCUUUCUUGGGCCUGCUAAAAGCGCUGAGGACCAAACCCUAAUCUCAGGAGUCUAUGAUGCAAUGGGAGCCCAGUCUAAACCAGCACAAUUCAGAAGGAUCAGUUCUCACCUGGACCUGGUACAACCAGGGGGAGCACUGGGGCGGGAAUGUACACAACAGUCAGCCAUUCCAGGCUUGGAAAGAAAGCCAGAGCCAGCAACAGUACUACUAGCUUAGAACACAACUUCCGCAGCAAGUCUUGGCCACUGUAAAGUCUGUCCUGGAGCACACAAAAGCCAAAGUUUAAGAUCUCCUAUUUAGGGGGCGGGGGAUUUAGUUCAGCAGCACUGCACCUUGCCUUGCAAGCGCAAGGUCCUCAGUUCAAUCUCCUACCCAGGACCAAAUCAGACUGGCUUCCUUUCUCUCUCAAGAAUACUGACGCUGGGCCUAGUGGCACACACCUGUAAUCCCAGCACUUGGGAGGAUCGUUCAGAGUUUGAGGCCAGCCUGGACCACAUAACAAGAUCUUGUCUCAAAUAAAACCCAAGAGAAGAAAGAGAUACCUGAUGCUCCUUUGCUCAUGGCAUAGACCAAAUAUACCAGGCUCCAGCACCAGUGUGCACACAAGAACUCAAAAGCAGUAGCUGGCGUCUAAGGGAGCAGUUUUCUGAGGCACUUAAAAAAGAAAAAGUUGUGAAGGACCCAGCCCAGACAGGGCACUCCACACGCCCUCAUCAAUGCUGCUGUGGCCUGCAGAGGGUGCCUGGCAGGUUCUGUGCUUCACCCGAACAGGUGAGACAGAAAGGAGUGCUGACUCAGAAACAGUCACCCUGCCGUGUGAGGGCCGGGAACAGCCAGCCCGAGGAGUAAUGAAUGGGUGAGGAGAAAGUCACUGAGGGUGCUGGACGUGCCACCACAGGACGGAUGAAACGCUGGCUGUCCAGCUUCCCACACCACUCUCCGCCACUCUCCAGAGGGCCCAGAGCUGGCAGCACUGGAGGAAGGGGAGGCAGAGAAAAGAAUGUGACCGGGAGCAGUCAGCUACAUUCCAGCUGACCAACAUCCCACACAGUACGAGGAUGCCUAAGACUCAACCCCACCAGAUCCUGGGGCUCUGUUGUGUGGCUCCAGUUCCUCCACACCCCUCACCCUCCAGCCCUCGGGCUGAGGAAGGCACCAGCUGUUUCCGCCACGAGCCCUCCCCCACCUCCCAAGACUUGCAGUUCAAACUCACAUCAAACACUCAGACAACUGCCUGGUCAGUUGGAAGAAGCCUGGCCUAAAAUAGCAGGAAGGGUGCCAACUGGCCCCACUCAGAAGGAACGAGCUCUUGGUUCAAUGGUAAAUAAAAAAACUUUUGUUAUCCACUCCCUUCUGCCCAAUCAUGUUCUUUCUACAACCUAACCCUCAGUGUCAGAUGGGUUUCAGUCCCUCCCUACAACUCCUUGGUUUAUUUUCAAAUAUCAGAGAACACAGGGGAGGUGUGAACAAACUAAAUGUAAAACAACAUCUGGGCGAUCAGGUUUCCUGGCCUGCUAAAGCUACACCGAGUGCAGGACUCCCGUGUAAACGAGGGGAGACAAGGGUGCACACAGCAGAGGGGCAGCCACACCUCAUCAGUGAUGGAGACACAAUUUCCUACAGCAAAGGCAACUGGCUGUGAGCAGCACGACCAGCUUCUCCCCCACCCAAGUUCCAAGCUGGCCAGAGUUAGGCAAGGAGGAAGCGAAGGAAGCCAGCACUUCCUUUUCAGACAGGAAGUAAACUGGCCUUUCCUGUCCAGUUUUAAACAAAUUGUCCAGCUAAGUUUCAAUGCUGACAUCCUCUCCUGAAUUUGUUCCACAAUUUCAAAAUGGAGACGCGGCCUACAAGUUUCCCUUCCCCACAACAGGCGCGUCCCCCACACCAUGGGAAGUGCUAGCCUAACCUCCACACCAGGGGUAACAUUUGCCGCUCAAAAGCAACACAGGACAGAGGUCGAUCAGUCCAGACCCCUCUGCCCAUGUCUACUGUGGGAACCGCAGGUCUUCUGGGCUUCUCCUGCUACUGAAAUAACCACUACCUGAGAAACGGCAUGGAGCCUAACUCAAAGGUUCAGGUUAUAUGGUCCUCGAAACUGACCAUCAGAACACAAUCACCUGGGAAGCUUUUUGGAAAAAAACAGUCCCUGAGCUCAACUGUCGGAGAGGGUCUAGAAAUUCUGUGUUAAGCUCAUUUUUCUGUUGUUUGCUUCUUAGCAGUACAUAGGGCCUCCACACUGAGCCAUGUCCCCUGGCCCUUUUUGUUCGUUUGUUUUGAGACAGGCUCUUGCUGAAUCCAGGCUGGACUCACAAGCCAUCCUCCUGACUCUGCCUUUCAUUAUGCUGGGAUUAUAAACGUGUGCCACCACAUCAGUGUGGAAAUUCAUGUUUUGAGGCCGGGGAUUUAG